rnacentral:lncRNA from 10 species
AGAUAGCCCAGAGAGAUCUGGAACCCACAGGAGCCACCUGUCAGUGCUUGUGGGUGAUUGGGAAAAUUCCUGGAGGACACCUGUGGCAACUCUCUGUUGUCCCUAGGCAUAAAGCCCAAAUCACUUUCUUUAAGGUGAGAAGCACUGUCUUGACAACCCCCCGUUUAGAGGUGGUAUCAAAGUGAAGACUUUUCUGUCAUUCCUGGAAACCAAAUCCUACACUUCUACUGAGUGUGUGAAGAAUAGAGUGUGGCAAAAUACACUUUCUUGGAAUAUGCUAUUAGAUCAUCUGCCCUUCCUUUCUCACAUGAGUAUCUCAGCAAAUGAAAGCCACUCUUUUGAAGAUAAACUAUGAAGUACUUUCUGUUUUCUAUAUGAUCAUUUGAAUGAAUGCAAAUUGGAGAAGGGUUUGUUCUUUAAGGAUGAGAACAUUUCCUUUGUGGUUUCAGUGAAUGGAAUGUAAAGUAUGAAUCAAGAAAGAUCUAAGAGUGUAGUAAGAUUUUGAUGAAGGUGUUGAAAUCAUGUAAAGGAAUCUCAACAGAAACACUGUUAUGGUUCCUUUUCUGGAUGGGAAAAACUGUGGACAAUUCAACAAUCAUUUAUUGAACUCCAAGUGAGGUGCCAUGCACUGUGCUAGAACCGGGAUUGGCUAUUGGCUACAUAAUUUGCAGAGCCCAGGGCAAAAUGAAAAUGCGAGGUCCCUUAUCCAAAAAUCCUUGUGCAUUAUCUAAGACUGUGGCAGCAGAGCACUAAACAAAGUGAGAGACACUUCAAAGCACAGAGCCCUGUGUAACUGUGCAGGUCACACACCCUGGCUGGAGCUCUGUAAUUAUGCAGAGAGGAAGUGACAGUAACUGACUUGGCUCUGCCUGUGGGUGUCAGGGGAAGUUGCACAGCAGAUUUGAUAACUGAGUGGGGCCUUGAGGAGCAGACAUUCUAUAGACAGAGAAAGAAAGAGGAUCGUGGGGACAGAAAAACAUUCUACAAGGAAAGAACAGUAUUUGUUUACCCAUUUAACAGACAUUGAACUCCUAUUUUGUACCAGGCACUGUGAUAGACAUCAAACAUCUGAAGAUGAAAAAGAUACAACCCGUAUCCUCCAGGAACUUAUAGUCUAGCGGAGAAGACAAACAUGAGAAAACAGGCAUUCAUUCAUGUAGUCAACAAACAUUUAUUGAGCAUCUACUAUAUGCAAGUAUGGGAUAGGUUCCUGGGAUAAGAUUGUAAAUAUCUCAACUUGAUCCUAUGGUCUACUGGGAAGAUGGCCAAUUUAACAAGCAAUCAUAUUAAAAUGUAGUAUGUGCUAUGAAUGGAUAACCCAGAAAGAAUAUCUAACCCAUUGAAAGUAGGAGUGGGGUAGAAAAUUAAAGAAAGCUUUCUGCAAGAGUUGAGGGAGUGGAGUUAUAAGUCAUGUUGUAAAAUUUAGACUUUAUACUAAGGGCAGUGAGAAGGCAUUAAAACUUUCAAAUAGAAGUAAGACAAUGACUUUAAAAUCACACUGCCUAUUGUGUGGAUUAAGGGCAAGAAAAAAUCACAGUAUAUUUGAGGACUAAUAUUCUGAAAGAGAAAAAUACACAUUUCUAUCAUCCCACUAAUGGCUAGCAAGCAAAAAUCGUCUAACUCAGUUAUCU